rnacentral:rRNA from 1 species
UACGGAGGGUGCAAGCGUUAUCCGGAUUCACUGGGUUUAAAGGGUGCGUAGGUGGGCUGGUAAGUCAGUGGUGAAAUCUCCAGGCUUAACUUGGAAACUGCCAUUGAUACUAUUAGUCUUGAAUACCGUGGAGGUCAGCGGAAUAUGUCAUGUAGCGGUGAAAUGCUUAGAUAUGACAUAGAACACCAAUUGCGAAGGCAGCUGGCUACACGAAUAUUAACACUGAUGCACGAAAGCGUGGGGAUCAAACAGG